rnacentral:rRNA from 2 species
GAUGAGGAGAGAAUCCUAAGGCCGGCGGGAGAAGCAUUGUUAAGGAACUCGGCAAAAUGACCCUGUAACUUCGGGAUAAAGGGUGCCACAGAGAUGUGGCCGCAGAGAAUAGGCUCAAGCAACUGUUUAGCAAAAACACAGGUCUAUGCGAAACCGAAAGGUGAGGUAUAUGCUGACGCCUGCCCGGUGCUGGAAGGUUACGAGGAGAGGUUAGAGCAAUCGAAGCUUUGAAUCUAAGCCCCAGUAAACGGCGGCCGUAACUAUAACGGUCCUAAGGUAGCGAAAUUCCUUGUCGGGUAAGUUCCGACCCGCACGAAAGGCGUAAUGAUUUGAGCGCUGUCUCGACAAUGCACCCGGUGAAAUUGAAAUACCAGUGAAGAUGCUGGUUACCUGCGCCAGGACGGAAAGACCCCAUGGAGCUUUACUCUAGCUUGAUACUGGGAUUCGGUACUGCAUGUACAGGAUAGGUGGGAGACUUUGAUGACAGGACGCCAGUCUUGUCGGAGUCGCUGUUGGGAUACCACCCUUGUGGUACUGGAUUUCUAACCAACCUCCGUGACCCGGAGGUGGGACAAUGUCAGGUGGGGAGUUUGACUGGGGCGGUCGCUCCGAAAGGGUAUCGGAGGCGCUCAAAGGUUCCCUCAGAAUGGUUGGAAACCAUUCAAAGAGUGCAAAGGCAGAAGGGAGCUUGACUGCGAGACCGACGGGUCGAGCAGGUACGAAAGUAGGACUUAGUGAUCCGGUGGUAGAAAGUGGGAUUGCCAUCGCUCAACGGAUAAAAGCUACCCUGGGGAUAACAGGCUUAUCACUCCCAAGAGUUCACAUCGACGGAGUGGUUUGGCACCUCGAUGUCGGCUCAUCGCAUCCUGGGGCUGAAGUAGGUCCCAAGGGUUGGGCUGUUCGCCCAUUAAAGCGGUACGCGAGCUGGGUUCAGAACGUCGUGAGACAGUUCGGUCCCUAUCCGGCGCGGGCGUAGGAUAUUUGAGAGGAGCUGCCCUUAGUACGAGAGGACCGGGGUGGACUGGCCUCUGGUGUAUCUGUUGAGCCAUCAGGCUCAUGGCAGAGUAGCCAAGCCGGGACGGGAUAAACGCUGAAGGCAUCUAAGCGUGAAGCCCCCCUCAAGAUGAGAUAUCCCAUACGCAAGUAGUAAGACCCCUUGAAGACGACGAGGUAGAUAGGGCAGAGGUGGAAG